rnacentral:pre_miRNA from 1 species
UUGGAGGACUUAAAUAUUUCAACUUGAAGAGUGGCGAACGUGAAGACUUCAACUUGGAUAUUUGGAGGGUUUAAGUAUUUCAAUU